GAGGAGGAUGGCCGUCUGGAC
rnacentral:miRNA from 1 species